GACGAACGCUGGCGGCGUGCUUAACACAUGCAAGUCGAACGGACAGGCCCUGCUCUUGCUGCUUGCUUGUGUGGCGAACGGGUGAGUAACACGUGAGUAUCCUGCCCCUGUCUUUGUGAUAUCUCUUGGAAACUCGGGCUAAUACCCGAUAUGAUCUCUUGCUCCAUGUUGUUCGUUGGAAAGUUUCGGUGUUAGUGGAUGGACUCGCGGCUUAUCAGCUUCUUGGUGUGGUAGUUGCUUACCAAGGCUGUGACGGAUAGCCGGCCUGAGAGGGUGACCGGCCACAUUGGGACUGAGAUACGGCCCAGACUCCAACGGGAGGCAGCAGUGGGGAGUAUUGCACAGUAGGGGGAAGCCUGAGGCAGCGACGCCGCGUGCGGGAAGACGGCCUUCGGGUUGUAAACCGAUUUCGCCUGUGACGAAGCGAGAGUGACGGUAAUGGGUAAGAAAGCAACGGCUAACUACGUG
rnacentral:rRNA from 1 species